GAAGUGGGCCAGACCGCCGCUGGCACACCGGCCGAAAGGCCGUGCUGGAGGAAGGUCCGGACUGCACAGGGCAGCGCAGCAGCCAACGGCUGUCCACCGCAAGGGGAGGAUCAGAGCAACAGAGACGAGUCAGGACGGGUCCGUCCGCUCGGGUGGUCUGCGAAGCACCGGCGAAAGUCGGUGACCGGGUGGCGCAAGCCGCCCGGUUCGGGCGAAGCCCGAAACUGAGCAGCACCCAGGGCGGUGCGCGCAAGCGUGGCCCGCCCUGGGUGAAACGGGCAAUCUCUGCGCGCAGCAACACCAAAUAGGCCAGCGUCGAUGUGGCUCCGCGGAGCUGGCGGGUAGGUGGCACCGAGCCGUUCCCGCGAGGGGCGGCCCAGAGGAAUGGCGGUCACGGCCGCGACGCCGCAAGGCGCCGCGGCUGCACAGAAUCCGGCCUAUCGGCCCGCUUCACAC
rnacentral:RNase_P_RNA from 1 species